rnacentral:rRNA from 1 species
GACGAACGCUGGCGGCGUGCUUAACACAUGCAAGUCGAACGGAAAGGCCCUGCUUUUGUGGGGUGCUCGAGUGGCGAACGGGUGAGUAACACGUGAGUAACCUGCCCUUGACUUUGGGAUAACUUCAGGAAACUGGGGCUAAUACCGGAUAGGAGCUCCUGCUGCAUGGUGGGGGUUGGAAAGUUUCGGCGGUUGGGGAUGGACUCGCGGCUUAUCAGCUUGUUGGUGGGGUAGUGGCUUACCAAGGCUUUGACGGGUAGCCGGCCUGAGAGGGUGACCGGCCACAUUGGGACUAAGAUACGGCCCAGACUCCUACGGGAGGCAGCAGUGGGGAAUAUUGCACAAUGGGGGGAAGCCUGAUGCAGCAACGCCGCGUGCGGGAUGACGGCCUUCGGGUUGUAAACCGCUUUCGCCUGUGACGAAGCGUGAGUGACGGUAAUGGGUAAAGAAGCACCGGCUAACUACGUG